rnacentral:rRNA from 1 species
GUUGAACGCUGGCGGCAUGCCUUACACAUGCAAGUCGAACGGCAGCGGACCUUCGGGUGCCGGCGAGUGGCGAACGGGUGAGUAAUGCAUCGGAACGUACCUUUCAGUGGGGGAUAACGUAGCGAAAGUUACGCUAAUACCGCAUAUUCUGUGAGCAGGAAAGCAGGGGAUCGCAAGACCUUGCGCUGAUUGAGCGGCCGAUGUCAGAUUAGCUAGUUGGUGAGGUAAAGGCUCACCAAGGCGACGAUCUGUAGCGGGUCUGAGAGGAUGAUCCGCCACACUGGAACUGAGACACGGUCCAGACUCCUACGGGAGGCAGCAGUGGGGAAUUUUGGACAAUGGGGGCAACCCUGAUCCAGCCAUGCCGCGUGAGUGAAGAAGGCCUUCGGGUUGUAAAGCUCUUUCGGCCGGGAAGAAAUCGCACGGGCUAAUACCCUGUGUGGAUGACGGUACCGGAAUAAGAAGCACCGGCUAACUACGUGCCAGCAGCCGCAGUAAAAC